GAAGAAGUAGCAACUUGAGCGGAAAGGCUGAACUGGGUCCCGAGCGGAAAACACCAGAAGUUGAUCAGUGCGCUACUCCUAGAAGUUGGCUGUGCAAUUUCCUGAGUUCCUUUCAGCAGAAGCAGCCUGUUUUUACCUUGGUGGCUUCCCAGGUGGCACUGGGAUGUGAUGUCAGCUCGCCAGAUCACGGGAAGGAGCCAUGUGUUGUGGGUACCAGAGGAGCAGGAUGAGAAGAGACUGUGUUCCCGGGACAAUGUACCCAUCACCCAACCCCAGAGAGCUUCCACUGGCACUGGGGAGACACCUAGACUGCUGCUAUCUUCAGGAGCCAGAACUCAUUGAAGAGAUGGAUGGUUCUGGGCGAGACACAGCAGUGGAGACAAGAGCAUCCUAUGGCAGAAGAAAAGCAUCCAAGAAUCGAUGAAAACUUGUCAAAAGGACUUGUCAAAGGGGUCCACACUGCCUAAAUUGGGGCAAUUUGAAUAUAACAAUAAAUA